rnacentral:rRNA from 1 species
AUUGAACGCUGGCGGCAGGCCUAACACAUGCAAGUCGAGCGGUAACAGGGGUAGCUUGCUACCCGCUGACGAGCGGCGGACGGGUGAGUAAUGCCUAGGAAUCUGCCUAGUAGUGGGGGGAUAGCUCGGGGGAAACUCGAAUUAAUACCGCAUACGCCUACGGGGGAAAGUGGGGGGAUCUUCGGACCUCACGCUAUUAGAUGAGCCUAGGUCGGAUUAGCUUGUUGGUGAGGUAACGGCUCACCAAGGCGACGAUCCGUAGCUGGUCUGAGAGGAUGAUCAGCCACACUGGGACUGAGACACGGCCCAGACUCCUACGGGAGGCAGCAGUGGGGAAUAUUGGACAAUGGGCGAAAGCCUGAUCAGCCAUGCCGCGUGUGUGAAGAGGGCCUCGGGUUGUAAAGCACUUUAAGCAGAGAAGAAAAGCUGCGGGCUAAUACCCUGUAGUCUUGACGGUACCUGCAGAAUAAGCACCGGCUAAUUCCGUGCCAGCAGCCGCGGUAAUACGGAAGGUGCAAGCGUUAAUCGGAUUUACUGGGCGUAAAGCGUGCGUAGGUGGUUGUGUAAGUCGGAUGUGAAAUCCAGGGCUUAACCUUGGAAUUGCACCCGAAACUACACGACUAGAAUGCGGUAGAGGGAAGUGGAAUUCCAGGUGUAGCGGUGAAAAUGCGUAGAUAUCUGGAGGAACACCAAAUGGGCGAAAGGGCAGCUUCCUGGGGCCUGCAUUUGACACUGAGGUACGAAAAGCGUGGGGGAGCAAAACAGGAUUAGAUACCCU